rnacentral:rRNA from 1 species
CCUACGGGUGACUGCAGUAGGGAAUUUUCGGCAAUGGGGGGAACCCUGACCGAGCAACGCCGCGUGAAGGAAGAAGGACUUCGUUCUGUAAACUUCUGUUAUAAAGGAAGAAAGACGGAUGGAGGAAAUGACAUCUGAGUGACGGUACUUUAUGAGAAAGCCACGGCUAACUACGUGCCAGCAGCCGCGGUAAUACGUAGGUGGCAAGCGUUAUCCGGAAUUAUUGGGUGUAAAGAGGGAGCAGGCGGUAGCAAAGGUCUGUGGUGAAAGACUGAAGCUUAACUUCAGAAAGCCAUAGAAACCGGUCAGCUAGAGUGCAGGAGAGGAUGGUGGAAUUCCAUGUGUAGCGGUGAAAUGCGUAGAUAUAUGGAAGAACACCAGUGGCGAAGGCGACGAUCUGGCCUGCAACUGACGCUCAGGCCCGAAAGCGUGGGGAGCAAAUAGGAUUAGAUACCCGUGUAGUC